rnacentral:rRNA from 1 species
UACGAAGGGUGCAAGCGUUACUCGGAAUUACUGGGCGUAAAGCGUGCGCAGGCGGUUCGUUGUGUCGGCGGUGAAAGCCCCGGGCUCAACCUGGGAAUGGCCGUUGAAACUGGCGAACUGGAGUGUGGCAGAGGGGGGUGGAAUUCCGCGUGUAGCAGUGAAAUGCGUAGAGAUGCGGAGGAACACCGAUGGCGAAGGCGGAUCUCUGGGCCAUUACUGACGCUGAGGAGCGAAAGCGUGGGGAGCGAACAGG